AAUAAAUGAAAUAUAAUAUUCUUUUUUUUCACUUUUUCUUUUCCUUUCCUUCCUCUGGCAAAUUUCUAGUUUUCAAUGAAAUACACUUGUCUAAUACUAAAACUUGACUUUAGUUGUCUUAUUUACAAUUCAUUUUCUCAUGUUAAAGGCAUUAUGGUGGUGUUAAAAUAAUGAAUUUUAAGAGGGAUUAUCCAAAGAAGAACAAGCAAUUGAAGAAAGAAAGAAAAAAAUUAGUAAAUAUAAAUUUUUUUUUUUUUUUACUUUUUUUUUUCUCUUCCAAAUUUUUCUUUUCUUUUCUUUUCUUUUCUUUUUUUUUUUAUGAGAAAAAGAGAAGGAAUCUUAAUGAAAUGCACUUUUUCAGUAUGAAUACUUGACUUAAGUUGUCUUAUUUGCUAUUCAUUUUUUCAUGUGAUAGGCAAUGUGUUAUUAUUAAAAUUAUGAAUUUUAAGCAUGAUUUAUAGAGAAAAAUAAUGAAUAAUAAAAAGUAAAUAAAAUAUUUUUUUUCACUUAAGCGUGUAAUUGUUUCUGACAAAUGUUUCCUUACUAUGCAUAAAAUGAAAGGACUUGUUUUUUUCCUUCUUUUCUUUUAUAUAUAUAUCUAUAUAAUAAGGGAGGACUGUUUUUGAAAAUGUCCCAAAUGUAACAGAGAUACAUUUGGUUUUAACGGCCAAGAUGAAUCCUGAGUUUAGAUCAAUGGUCUAUAUACAUUUUCCCACCCGUUUGAGUUCAUCUCUCCCUCUCUCCCACGUCCCUAAACACGUUCUCUUCAACUCCCUCUCUUCCACGUUCUCCAUCUCUCCCACGUUCUCUGUCACAGUGUCUCUAAUCACCACAGCCAUUGAAGACCCUUCGAACCCUUCGAUACCCACCCUCUCUCUUCAAUACCCAACCCUUCGAUACCCACCCUCCCUCUUCGCUACACUACUCCUCCUUCCCUUACAACCCUUCUCUUUGACCUGACCGAGGCUGUCACCGACCGAGCCUCCCUCCAUCCGACGAUUGAGUCGAGUCUCUCUCUCCGACGAUCGAGUCUCUCGCCUGACUUGCUUCUCGCCGCUCAGUCUCGCCGGACUCUCUUCUGUCGACACUCUGUCUUUUGUCGACAGAUCUGUCUUCUCUCGACUCUCUCUCUCUCCGACCAGCCCGAUUCUGUCUCCGACCCGACCCAGCGACUCCAACCUACAGAGUUUAGAAUUUGUUCGACGCUCUGGUCGCUAGCAGAGACACAGCUCUCCCAAAUUCUACAAAUUGAAGACUCAUGUUUCUUCUACCCUUAAAGCUUCCCUUAGAUUUUCAGCUUUAGCAAAUGCAAUUACGCUCAAGAAUCUCAUAAGAAAGGGAAUUCCGGCGGUUUUACGGCCUAAGGUCUGGUUUUCGCUCUCCGAGGCGGCUAAGAAGAAAUCAACGAUGCUUGAGAGCUAUUACAAUGAUUUAAUUAAGGCUGUCAAGAGUAAGAUCACGCCCGCUACAAGGCAGAUUGAUCAGGUGACUUUUUUCUUUCAGCAUUACAUUGAUUAUUGUGGCACAUUUAUCAUCAUGUGAAAAUUGGAUGGUUGAUCAGUUGUUUCAGAUACAAUGUUUAUGAUAUAAUGAUCAUUGUAAAUUUGUAAUGUUUGAUGUUUGUGGGACUCCACUUCAUUACAAAAGAUGGAUUGUUUUGCAAUUGGAUAACGGAUUCUUAUCUUAAUAAUGCUAUUUGUUUGAUCCUGAACAUGAAAUCUCCAGGUCCAAUUGAGCUUAUUUAGUUUGCAUUACAUUA